GACGAACGCUGGCGGCGUGCUUAACACAUGCAAGUCGAGCGGUAAGGCCCUUUCGGGGGUACACGAGCGGCGAACGGGUGAGUAACACGUGGGUGACCUGCCCUCAGCUCUGGGAUAAGCCUGGGAAACUGGGUCUAAUACUGGAUAUGACUCCACGGUGCAUGUCGUGGGGUGGAAAGCCUUGUGCGGCUGAGGAUGGGGCCCGC
rnacentral:rRNA from 1 species